UAAAACCAGCACCUCAAGUGGUCAGGAUGAUUAUUGGGCCUAAAGCAUCCGUAGCCGGCUCUGUAAGUUUUCGGUUAAAUCUGUACGCUCAACGUACAGGCUGCCGGGAAUACUGCAGAGCUAGGGAGUGGGAGAGGUAGACGGUACUCGGGAGGAAGUGGUAAAAUGCUUUGAUCUCUCGAUGACCACCUGUGGCGAAGGCGGUCUACCAGAACACGUCCGACGGUGAGGGAUGAAAGCUGGGGGAGCAAACCGGAUUAGAUACCCGGGUAGUCCCAGCUGUAAGCUAUGCAAACUCAGUGAUGCAUUGGCUUGUGGCCAAUGCAGUGUUGCAGGGAAGCCGUUAAGUUUGCCGCCUGGGAAGUACGUACGCAAGUAUG
rnacentral:rRNA from 1 species